GUGUUGUAUUUAAUUAACAUGAAAGCUUGCCCUGCCAUAAUGUGCCUUUAUGUUUGAUCUUCUUUUUUCUUGUAAGAUUGAAACACAGCUAAGAUGGAUCUUCUGUAUUUUCCAGUAUUUCAAGAAAAUGCUUAUGAAGAUAAAUGACAAUGAAGCAAAUGAAUAUGCUUUGUUUAUCAGCCUUACCUACCGAAAAAAAGUUCUCGGUAAUGUUUUCAUCAAAGCCUCUUCCCUUGUGCGUCACAGCAGAGACAGUAUGGAAAUGUUCUGCGCGGCUUGUAAACCUGUCAAACAACACACACCUUGGAGCUGGAUAAUUCAACCAAACUGCUGUCUGUGGAGCGGUAAGGUACUCUAAUUAUGCAGACCCAGGAUUGUUGAGUAAUGGUGCUUUGCUCUGCUUUAUGUGUCAAUUCCCUGCAAACUACAUUUCUUAUCCUUGUGUAUUAGUUGCAAACAUCAAAGGCAGCUGUCUCAGUGUGGGAAACGCAUACAACUGAACAAGACACGAGAAAGAAAGCUCACCUUAGUGGAUGCAUCAAGAACAGGUGCUGCUGCUUAUGAAGUGCCAGCAGUGUAUUCAUACUUCAAUCGUUCAUUGUUUCUUUACACAGUGAAAGAGAGUGUCUCUAUAAGCACAGUCACUGCGUUGUUAGUUUUAGUACAGCCAUUUAAUGAUUCUCAAUUAAGUUGUGCAUCGAUGUGAAAAGCUUGGGCUUUGCUGCAAAAAGGCAUGUGUGCCACAGCCCUCAUGUUCACAUUUUACUGAGAUCCAAAUUCACUGAAUAAUAAUCUAGUGGUACAGCUGUGACUUUUAGUGCAACAAUUGUGCAGUAAUUCUACACGUACUAUACCUUUUACCACUAAAAGCUCAAAAAAUAUCCAUAUAUUCUGUAAUGUGAUAUUUUAUAAUGCGAUAACUUGUAAUCAAUAUUUUAUAAUGUGAUACUUUGUAUUGUGAUAUUUUGUAACAAUUGUCGCUCUGGAUAAGGAU